GGCUUGGUAAACUAUGAUGAAAUAAAAAAUUGAACUAAGCCUGUAAUAAAAGAAUGUGGCCAUAUGCGUCACCCAAGAUGCGUGCUAAUGCCAGGUGUGAACAGAGCCACUGUGUGACUACACAAUCAGCUUAGCAGAAUGGUUUCUGAGAGAGAUAUUGUUGUCAUUAAUUGUUUUUUUUCUUUUUCAAGAAGCCAAGUUCCUGGCUUCUCCCAAGACAUUCAAGCACCCAAAUGACCUCGGAAUCAGCUGAAAAGGAGGAUGAAAGUCUAAGAAUGUCUAAGAAUGGGACAGCGAUAUUGCAUCAAUUGGUCUCCUACUUCAUUUGAUUCCACCAUCACCACAAGGCUGCAAGGGAUCCUAUCAAGCUGAAAAACAUCUUCAAAAAGGCACCAACAAGAAGAACAGCUUGAUUGCAAAGAAGAGACCACACAACCAUACCUGCUCACUGAUGGGACAACGAGGAACAUCAUUCAUGGAUGCUACACAACUGUCAAAUCUUGUCAUAUUUGUUCAUGUCUAGAUAAAUUUGAUGAUUUUGUGUUUUAUUAACUAUUUUAUGUUUCUGUGCAAUACUUAAUGAAUGUGACUGACUAAUUAACCUCUACACAUCUAAUAUAUGCUUCAAAGUUGCCACUUUGCCC